rnacentral:rRNA from 1 species
UGGUGGAGUGAUUUGUCUGGUUAAUUCCGUUAACGGACGAGACCGCCGCCUGCUAAAUAGUUCUACCAAUGGUUUUUCAUCGGUAAGAGCUUCUUAGAGGGACGUUCAUUCUACAAGAUGAAGGAAGAUGGCGGCAAUAACA